rnacentral:misc_RNA from 1 species
UUGAUUGAUUCAAAUAUUGACUCAGACGCACAGAUGCAGGGUUGAGAUGACCGCCGGGGGCCCCGACGCCCGAGAGGGCCGGGUCGCCCCCGAGGCAACAGAGUCGGAAAACAUGGGGUUGGAGGGUCGGGCCCGAGGGCCCUCGCUCUUGUAAUGAUCCCUCCGCAGGUUCACCUACGGAGA